rfam:Schistosoma rodhaini strain Burundi genome assembly, scaffold: SROB_scaffold0009947
AUCCAACUGACGAGUCCCACAUACGGCGAAACGCACAUCCUGGAU